rnacentral:rRNA from 1 species
AUUGAACGCUGGCGGCAGGCCUAACACAUGCAAGUCGAACGGUAACAGGAAGCAGCUUGCUGCUUUGCUGACGAGUGGCGGACGGGUGAGUAAUGUCUGGGAAACUGCCUGAUGGAGGGGGAUAACUACUGGAAACGGUAGCUAAUACCGCAUAACGUCGCAAGACCAAAGAGGGGGACCUUAGGGCCUCUUGCCAUCGGCUGUGCCCAGAUGGGAUUAGCUAGUAGGUGGGGUAACGGCUCACCUAGGCGACGAUCCCUAGCUGGUCUGAGAGGAUGACCAGCCACACUGGAACUGAGACACGGUCCAGACUCCUACGGGAGGCAGCAGUGGGGAAUAUUGCACAAUGGGCGCAAGCCUGAUGCAGCCAUGCCGCGUGUAUGAAGAAGGCCUUCGGGUUGUAAAGUACUUUCAGCGGGGAGGAAGGGAGUAAAGUUAAUACCUUUGCUCAUUGACGUUACCCGCAGAAGAAGCACCGGCUAACUCCGUG